AUUGAACGCUGGCGGCAGGCCUAACACAUGCAAGUCGAGCGGCAGCGGGACCUUCGGGUCGCCGGCGAGCGGCGGACGGGUGAGUAAUGCCUAGGAAUCUGCCUGUUAGUGGGGGAUAACGCGGGGAAACUCGCGCUAAUACCGCAUACGUCCUACGGGAGAAAGUGGGGGACCCUCGGGCCUCACGCUAACAGAUGAGCCUAGGUCGGAUUAGCUAGAUGGUGGGGUAAAGGCCCACCAAGGCGACGAUCCGUAACUGGUCUGAGAGGAUGAUCAGUCACACUGGAACUGAGACACGGUCCAGACUCCUACGGGAGGCAGCAGUGGGGAAUAUUGGACAAUGGGCGAAAGCCUGAUCCAGCCAUGCCGCGUGUGUGAAGAAGGUCUUCGGAUUGUAAAGCACUUUAAGUUGGGAGGAAGGGCGCUCGGUGAAUACCCAAGCGUCUUGACGUUACCGACAGAAUAAGCACCGGCUAACUUCGUGCCAGCCGCCGCCGUAAGAC
rnacentral:rRNA from 1 species